AUUGAACGCUGGCGGCAGGCUUAACACAUGCAAGUCGAGCGGAGCGAGGGUGCUUGCACCUUAGCUUAGCGGCGGACGGGUGAGUAAUGCUUAGGAAUUUGCCUAUUAGUGGGGGACAACAUUCCGAAAGGAAUGCUAAUACCGCAUACGCCCUACGGGGGAAAGCAGGGGAUCUUCGGACCUUGCGCUAAUAGAUGAGCCUAAGUCGGAUUAGCUAGUUGGUGGGGUAAAGGCCUACCAAGGCGACGAUCUGUAGCGGGUCUGAGAGGAUGAUCCGCCACACUGGGACUGAGACACGGCCCAGACUCCUACGGGAGGCAGCAGUGGGGAAUAUUGGACAAUGGGCGGAAGCCUGAUCCAGCCAUGCCGCGUGUGUGAAGAAGGCCUUUUGGUUGUAAAGCACUUUAAGCGAGGAGGAGGCUACUGGUACUAAUACUACUGGAUAGAGGACGUUACUCGCAGAAUAAGCACCGGCUAACUCUGUGCCAGCCGCCGCGGUAACAC
rnacentral:rRNA from 1 species